AUUGAACGCUGGCGGCAGGCCUAACACAUGCAAGUCGAACGAGUGGCGGACGGGUGAGUAAUGUCUGGGAAACUGCCCGAUGGAGGGGGAUAACUACUGGAAACGGUAGCUAAUACCGCAUACCAUCGGAUGUGCCCAGAUGGGAUUAGCUUGUAGGUGAGGUAACGGCUCACCUAGGCGACGAUCCCUAGCUGGUCUGAGAGGAUGACCAGGCACUAUGGAACUGAGACACGGUCCAGACGACGACGUGAGGCAGAAGUGGGGAAGAUUGCACAAUGGGAGCAAGUCUGAUGCAGCCAUGCCGCGUGUAUGAAGAAGUCCGUCGAGUUGUAAAGUACUUUCAGCGGGGAGGCGUUACCCGCAGAAGAAGCACCGGCUAACUCCGUGCCAGCAGCCGCGGUAAUUC
rnacentral:rRNA from 1 species